rnacentral:rRNA from 1 species
AUUGAACGCUGGCGGCAUGCCUUUCACAUGCAAGUCGAACGGCAGCACGGGUGCUUGCACCUGGUGGCGAGUGGCGAACGGGUGAGUAAUACAUCGGAACAUGUCCUGUAGUGGGGGAUAGCCCGGCGAAAGCCGGAUUAAUACCGCAUACGAUCUACGGAUGAAAGCGGGGGACCUUCGGGCCUCGCGCUAUAGGGUUGGCCGAUUGCUGAUUAGCUAGUUGGUGGGGUAAAGGCCUACCAAGGCGACGAUCAGUAGCUGGUCUGAGAGGACGACCAGCCACACUGGGACUGAGACACGGCCCAGACUCCUACGGGAGGCAGCAGUGGGGAAUUUUGGACAAUGGGCGAAAGCCUGAUCCAGCAAUGCCGCGUGUGUGAAGAAGGCCUUCGGGUUGUAAAGCACUUUUGUCCGGAAAGAAAUCCUUGGCCCUAAUACGGUCGGGGGAUGACGGUACCGGAAGAAUAAGCACCGGCUAACUACGUG